rnacentral:lncRNA from 1 species
GUCUGCAUGAAGCACUGGCAUCAUCUAGCGGUUGUUUUUACAAUUCAGACGAUUGUCCAGUGUGCCGCUAGAUGGUGUUGGUAUUGUUUUGAAAAUGGCGAAAUGUGUGAAGAGAUUUGUCAUCUUCUGAUUUCGAAUUUUCAUGUUUUACUGCCCAAAAUCAACCAAUUAUUUACAUAAAAUGUACCUGCCGUCUAGUCAUCAGAUUGAAUUUGGACCCCAUUUUAAGAGAAAAUUGCUCAACACUUCUGUAAACACACACGCUCAGCUUCAUCUGCAUCAUCCUCUCACAUCUUAGACAAAACUGCAAGCUGUUAUGCCCAAAAGUUGUGGCAUUGCAUAUAUGGUUACAGGUUCCUUCUUGCCUGAAAGAUGUUUACACCUUUGAACACUUUUGGUGGGGUUGUUGCGUCAUGAAAUUGUAUUGCUGCCAUUCCCUGCAUCUCCCACUUCAUAGCUACAAGAAACGAGUAAUAGGAAGCCUACAACAGAUUGAGGUUGUGCGGUAUCCCAUUGGAUCCAUUGAAUUUCGCGAGUCAGCCGCCGAUGCCAAUCUACAACGCAGUUUCUUUAUUGGAAUUGUGUGUUCCUGGCACAGAGGUCCUUGAUGCUGGCCUUUGUCCAUUACAGAAGAUUGACUUCUACCAACUCUCUGCUCCAUCCUUAUCUUCGCUACCCACACUCAUCUAGCUUCUUUGCUUAUUAUGCUGCUUAACAAUUUAUCGUACUUCACUACCGAGUUAGACCAGUCGCUUCAGUCCGCCUGUCACUCUCCACCGAAUUAUGCCCAGGUAAUGCAGAUGAGACGUCGAGAAGAUGGAAUUCCGAGACUCGUCAUCAACG